AAAAUAAGUCUGCCUAAUCCAGCUUUACUCUCAAAACACCUAUGUGCAGGGUUGAAGCUAGGAACGGAGGAACCAAGUUUGGGGCGUAUCUGCCAAAAAAGCUGAAGCUAAAGUAUGAAAAAGAGAUUUCAAAUUUUAGACUUAGAGCAUUUAGAGAAGGACAUCUCUCAGUCCUAGCCCGUCAGCUAACUUCGUAGGCAUUGAGAGGAGAUUGA
rnacentral:sRNA from 2 species